UGGGCGAAAGCCUGACGGAGCAAUGCCGCGUGUGGGAUCAAGCAUCUUCGAUGUGUAAACCACUGUCAGGGUCUAGGAAUACUGACCAGACCCAGAGGAAGGGCCGGCUAAUUCAGUGCCAGCAGCCGCGGUAAUACUGAAGGCCCGAGCGUUAAUCGGAAUCACUGGGCUUAAAGCGUACGCAGGCGGACUUGUAGGUAUUUUGUGAAAUCCCACGGCUUAACCGUGGAACUGCAGAGUAAACCACAAGUCUUGAGACAUGUAGGGGUCAGUGGAACGAUGUGUGGAGCGGUGAAAUGCGUAGAUAUACAUCGGAACGCCAAUGGCGAAGGCAGCUGACUGGGCAUGUUCUGACGCUCAUGUACGAAAGCGUGGGUAGCGAACGGGAUUAGAUACCCCGGUAGUCCACGCCGUAAACGAUGCACACUAGGUCGCGGGAACUCUCAUGUUCUCGCGGCCGAAGGUAAACUGGUAAGUGUGCCGCCUGGGGAGUACGGUCGCAAGGCUAAAACUCAAAGGAAUUGACGGGGGCUCACACAAGCGGUGGAGCAUGUUGCUUAAUUCGAGGCAACGCGAAGAACCUUACCUGGGCUUGACAUGUAUGGAUUAGCUCUUGGAAACAAGAGUGACGCCCUUGGGUGGAACAUACACAGGUGCUGCAUGGCUGUCGU
rnacentral:rRNA from 11 species